CAUCAUGAAGUAUCAGGCGCAGACGUCCAUCUUGUUUCUCCUCCUCUGUUACUGGAGCCGCCCUCCGACCGUCUCCGGCUUCACAGAAGAACAACUGGAAAGGGUAACCGGCUACGUCCACAGAACCUUCGGAAUAAGUGGUCAGUACGCCUAUAUAAUCAAGUUCACUGCAGCCCAAUGU